rnacentral:rRNA from 1 species
GACAGAGGGUGCAAACGUUGUUCGGAAUCAUUGGGCGUAAAGCGCACGUAGGCGGUUCGUUAUGUCGGAUGUGAAAGCCCUUGGCUUAACCGAGGAAGUGCAUCCGAAACUGGCGAGCUAGAGUACGAAAGAGGAUCGCGGAAUUCCCGGUGUAGAGGUGAAAUUCGUAGAUAUCGGGAGGAACACCGGUGGCGAAGGCGGCGAUCUGGGUCGAUACUGACGCUGAGGUGCGAAAGCGUGGGGAGCAAACAGG